rnacentral:snRNA from 1 species
GAAAAUUAGCUCAUUUAGUAUUUCUCCAGUAGGUUUUCUGAAAGAGAGAGCCUCC